GUGGAAUUUUUGGCUUGACCAGAAGCAGGAAGAGUAGGAAAUGUUAUUUUAAAAAGUCCCGUUUUUCACACUGCUGAUGUCUGGAGAGUCGAGAUAAGCUUUGAGCCUACUUCCAAAUCUCUGGGUGCUCCUCCAAGCGUGCUGGAAAUGGGGGUGUGAAACAUAGCUUGCUGAGCUGUCAAGAGGCAAGAUAAGGCAUUUGCAAUUGGCAGUGUUUCAAAGGACUCCAGAUUUCUCCAAAGAACCUAGAUUUCCCAGGUACUGAACAUGUGCAAAAUAGAAACAAACAUUCAAGAUGAGUGAGUGAUGAGUUCUGCCUGUGGUCAGAAGAAAACAACACUCCCAACUCUGCAACCUGAUCACUUCCCUACUUAGUCCUGUUUGUGGAGCCGCCUUAUUAACGACAUUAGAACAAAGAUAUGAAGGUUAAGUUGAAAGUUAAUGGAAGCUGCAAAGUGUUUGCCUUCUGUAUCUGCAAUGGAAACCCCACCUGCUGUCUUCUUGGUGUUUUUGUUCCUUGUCUUUAAGACCUGGUCUCAAAUUCAGAAGUUCAAUACCAGCGUCAGUUUGACUUGACACAAUCUAUGGUUGUAGUGUAUUGAUUUCACAAAUUGAACCUAUGAAAUGAAACUCUGUCAUCAAGAAGCUAUUGGACACCUAUAUGGACAUGCAUUUACCUCUCUGCCCAGUGCAAUUAUUUAUAAAUGUCUGUGGAAGAAUAGAGAGAGGAGGGAGGAAAGGAAGAAUAGAUUAUUCUGUGUCUUUCAG
rnacentral:lncRNA from 10 species